CUCCUAAAGAGUAACGGAGGAGCACGAAGGUUGGCUAAUCCUGGUCGGACAUCAGGAGGUUAGUGCAAUGGCAUAAGCCAGCUUGACUGCGAGCGUGACGGCGCGAGCAGGUGCGAAAGCAGGUCAUAGUGAUCCGGUGGUUCUGAAUGGAAGGGCCAUCGCUCAACGGAUAAAAGGUACUCCGGGGAUAACAGGCUGAUACCGCCCAAGAGUUCAUAUCGACGGCGGUGUUUGGCACCUCGAUGUCGGCUCAUCACAUCCUGGGGCUGAAGUAGGUCCCAAGGGUAUGGCUGUUCGCCAUUUAAAGUGGUACGCGAGCUGGGUUUAGAACGUCGUGAGACAGUUCGGUCCCUAUCUGCCGUGGGCGCUGGAGAACUGAGGGGGGCUGCUCCUAGUACGAGAGGACCGGAGUGGACGCAUCACUGGUGUUCGGGUUGUCAUGCCAAUGGCACUGCCCGGUAGCUAAAUGCGGAAGAGAUAAGUGCUGAAAGCAUCUAAGCACGAAACUUGCCCCGAGAUGAGUUCUCCCUGACCCUUUAAGGGUCCUGAAGGAACGUUGAAGACGACGACGUUGAUAGGCCGGGUGUGUAAGCGCAGCGAUGCGUUGAGCUAACCGGUACUAAUGAACCGUG
rnacentral:rRNA from 1 species